AACGGCCGCGGUAUCCUAACCGUGCGAAGGUAGCGUAAUCACUUGUUCUUUAAAUGAGGACUAGUAUGAAUGGCACCACGAGGGUUAAACUGUCUCCUUUUUUUAAUCAGUGAAACUAAUCUCCCCGUGAAGAAGCGGGGAUUCUUUUAUAAGACGAGAAGACCCUAUGGAGCUUUAAACAAGUUAACACCUGCUACUAAUCUUCACUUUCCUGAAUCACCACAUUAAGUAUAGCACCUCUGAUUAACAGUUUUCGAUUGGGGUGAUCAUGGAGCAAAAAUCAACCUCCACGACGAAAAGGAACACCUCCUUGAGCCAAAAGCUACAACUUUAAGCACUAAAAAACUAACGCACUUUGACCCAAUUCUUUGAGCAACGAACCAAGUUACCCUAGGGAUAACAGCGCAAUCCACUUUAAGAGCCCCUAUCGACAAGUGGGUUUACGACCUCGAUGUUGGAUCAGGGUAUCCCAGUGGUG
rnacentral:rRNA from 1 species